rnacentral:misc_RNA from 1 species
UGCCAUACGAUCAGCCUGUGAAGUUUUAUUACUUAUUGCUGCAACAAUUUAUGUAGGCGUUAAUCGGAGUAGAAUCAAUGAUGAUCAUUUUGUUGAUACGAAUGCCUUUGACAGAACGACUUGAGCCUUCCUAGUGCUUCUUCAAGAGAAGCUGGAUCCGCGGCAAAGGUUAUUCUAAUCCAGUUCUUCAAACCCACAGCAAGUCCUGGAAGGAGUAUAACAGAUUCCUCUUUCGCCAGUUUGAAACAGAAGUCAAUAUCAUCGCUUAUGUCUAUCAUAAGCGGUAGAUGCAGCUUCACCAUUACGG